AGAAUUGACCACAAAUGUCCUUUCAUUAAGUGGUUGUUAAAAGCCUUAUUUUUGAAACACAGGAGGAAAAAAGAAUAUAAAGAAGAAAGGAAAAAAAGGAGUCUGAAAGUUUUCUUCAGAGGCUUCAUCAUUCUAAAACUUAUAGGAGUGCUUUCCUAAAAUUAUGGGAAUAUGAGGACAAGAAAGAAGGUAAGCAAGGUAAUUAUUAUAGUUCUUAGUAUUAUCUCUGAAGAAAUAUAACUUGGUUAGAAUCCUUAUUAUUCCUGUUCCUAGCUAUGUAACUUUGGGUAAGUAAUUGGACAUCUUUAAGCCUCAAUUUUGUAAUCUAUUAAACAAAGGUAAUAACUGUAGCUUCUUGCAAAGGUUUGCCGAGUGGAUUCAAUGUAAUGAGCAGUAUAAGGAACCCAAGAGUAGGUUUGUAGGUUUGUGGGCACACAGUAAACCUUUCCUAAAUGGUAGUUGCUCAUCAUCAUCAUCGUCCAGAAUUAGAAGAUGAUUUAGUAAUCAUUUAGUUUUACAGAUUAGGGACCUCAGAUCCAUCCAUUCAUCCAUCCAUCCAUUUAUUUACUCAUUAAUUCAACCUAUAUUAAUUAGCCCCUGCUAAAUGCCAUGUACUGGGAAUAAAAUAUUAAAUGAGUUGGGGGUUCUUAAUUACCACACCUUGAUGAUAUUUUAUAAUCCUUAUAACAACAACAAGAGGAACUACUUUUUGUGUGUGCCACAUGAUCCAGAGGGCUGCUUUCUCAUGCAUUAUUUUAUUUAAUUCUCAUAAAUAUAUAUGAAGUAGGUUUUAUUAUUUCUAUUUACAGAUGGUAAAUCAGAAGCUUAGGGAGAUUAAGCAACACACCAAAGAUCAUGUAAUUAGUAACCGAGUUAGCAUGGCAACCCAGCUCUAACUCCAAACCCACACUUUUGACAUUACACAGGGAAGUUCCAAUAGUCCAGAGAAGUGGAGUGAUUGCUCAUGAGAUCAUGGGAAAGCUAUUGCAAGAGCCAGGAUCUUAUGAAUGAAGUUACUGUGUGUGUAAAUGUGAAUAUGUGUAUUUAUGAGUGUUUUUUUCUAAACACUGCUAUUUUCAAUCAGUUAAGAAUUUUGCACUCUUUUUUUUUCUUUAAAUAAUCUCUUAAACUAUUC
rnacentral:lncRNA from 1 species